rnacentral:rRNA from 1 species
GGACUACCAGGGUUUCUAAUCCUGUUUGCUCCCCACGCUUUCGUACAUGAGCGUCAGUCUCAUCCCAGGGGGCUGCCUUCGCCAUCGGUAUUCCUCCACAUCUCUACGCAUUUCACUGCUACACGUGGAAUUCUACCCCCCUCUGCCAUACUCUAGCCCGCCAGUCACCAAUGCAGUUCCCAGGUUAAGCCCGGGGAUUUCACAUCGGUCUUAGCGAACCGCCUGCGCACGCUUUACGCCCAGUAAUUCCGAUUAACGCUUGCACCCUACGUAUUACCGCGGCUGCUGGCAC